AUUGAACGCUGGCGGCAUGCUUUACACAUGCAAGUCGAACGGUAACAGGCCUUCGGGUGCUGACGAGUGGCGCACGGGUGAGUAAUGCAUCGGAACGUACCCAGAGGUGGGGGAUAACGCAGCGAAAGCUGUGCUAAUACCGCAUGUGAUCUGAGGAUGAAAGCGGGGGACCGAGCAGCAAUGUUUGGCCUCGCGCCUUUGGAGCGGCCGAUGUCGGAUUAGCUAGUUGGUGGGGUAAAGGCCUACCAAGGCGACGAUCCGUAGCUGGUCUGAGAGGACGACCAGCCACACUGGGACUGAGACACGGCCCAGACUCCUACGGGAGGCAGCAGUGGGGAAUGUUGGACAAUGGGCGCAAGCCUGAUCCAGCAAUGCCGCGUGCGGGAAGAAGGCCUUCGGGUUGUAAACCGCUUUUGGCAGGAACGAAACGGUGUCCGCUAAUACCGGGCGCUAAUGACGGUACCUGCAGAAUAAGCACCGGCUAACUACGUG
rnacentral:rRNA from 1 species